rnacentral:rRNA from 1 species
UACGUAUGGUGCAAGCGUUAUCUGGAAUGACUGGGUGUAAAGGGAGCGUAGACGGUUGUACAAGUCUGAUGUGAAAGCCCACGGCUCAACUGUGGGAGUGCAUUGGAAACUGUAGAACUAGAGUAUCGGAGAGGCAAGUGGAAUUCCUAGUGUAGCGGUGAAAUGCGUAGAUAUUAGGAGGAACACCAGUGGCGAAGGCGGCUUGCUGGACGAAAACUGACGUUGAGGCUCGAAAGCGUGGGGAGCAAACAGG